UGGGGAAUAUUGCACAAUGGGCGCAAGCCUGAUGCAGCGACGCCGCGUGAGGGAUGACGGCCUUCGGGUUGUAAACCUCUUUCGCCAGGGACGAAGCGCAAGUGACGGUACCUGGAUAAGAAGCACCGGCUAACUACGUGCCAGCAGCCGCGGUAAUACGUAGGGUGCGAGCGUUGUCCGGAUUUAUUGGGCGUAAAGAGCUCGUAGGCGGUUUGUCGCGUCGGCCGUGAAAUCUCCACGCUUAACGUGGAGCGUGCGGUCGAUACGGGCAGACUUGAGUUCGGUAGGGGAGACUGGAAUUCCUGGUGUAGCGGUGAAAUGCGCAGAUAUCAGGAGGAACACCGGUGGCGAAGGCGGGUCUCUGGGCCGAUACUGACGCUGAGGAGCGAAAGCGUGGGGAGCGAACAGGAUUAGAUACCCUGGUAGUCCACGCUGUAAACGUUGGGCGCUAGGUGUGGGCGACAUCCACGUUGUCCGUGCCGUAGCUAACGCAUUAAGCGCCCCGCCU
rnacentral:rRNA from 1 species